GAUGAACGCUGGCGGCGUGCCUAAUACAUGCAAGUCGAGCGAAUGGAUUAAGAGCUUGCUCUUAUGAAGUUAGCGGCGGACGGGUGAGUAACACGUGGGUAACCUGCCCAUAAGACUGGGAUAACUCCGGGAAACCGGGGCUAAUACCGGAUAAUAUUUUGAACUGCAUGGUUCAAAAUUGAAAGACGGCUUCGGCUGUCACUUAUGGAUGGACCCGCGUCGCAUUAGCUAGUUGGUGAGGUAACGGCUCACCAAGGCAACGAGGCGUAGCCGACCUGAGAGGGUGAUCGGCCACACUGGGACUGAGACACGGCCCAGACUCCUACGGGAGGCAGCAGUAGGGAAUCUUCCGCAAUGGACGAAAGUCUGACGGAGCAACGCCGCGUGAGUGAUGAAGGCUUUCGGGUCGUAAAACUCUGUUGUUAGGGAAGAACAAGUGCUAGUUGAAUAAGCUGGCACCUUGACGGUACCUAACCAGAAAGCCACGGCUAGCUACGUGCCAGCCGCCGCGGUAA
rnacentral:rRNA from 1 species